CACAGAGGUCCCAGGGACUGCGCAGACCCACAAAUCUCUGUGUUCAUGACUGUCCAGGGCACAGUCUUGGGUGGGAGAUGGUGACAAACGGGGCACUCAGGUCUGGGCACAGAGCCGACAGUUCUGGUUCUUCUAGUCACUUGUGGGCUGAGCAGCUCCCUCUGAGCCUCAUUUCCAAGUCUGUGUUACCCGUCGGGGCUUUGUGAAGAUCAGCUCACAUGAGAUUAUUCCAGAAGAAACACUCUAGGCUGCCAAGCGACUUUCGCACUGAUCAAGAGGCUGCGGAUUAGGAGAGCUUGAAUUCCAAAGGCCCCCUUCCGUUCAAGCUUCUUCCCCGUGCCCACCCCUGGCCUGGCCACACACAGGCGGGGCUGCAGAGCAGAGGCCAGAAGAGCACGAGCGGCCCUGGGACCAGACCACAUCAGGACAGAGCGGCUGCUUCUCCAGACACACUGGUUCUGUCUCAGCAUCUUGACAUCUGGAGUACCGUUUUCCUGGCCUUGGCACAUACUGCUCUCGACAUGGAUGUCUCCGCAGGGCUUUUCCCAAGGCGCUCUCCUCAUUGUUUUGACUUCAAUUUGAACAUCAGCUCC
rnacentral:lncRNA from 1 species